rnacentral:rRNA from 1 species
UACGUAGGUCGCAAGCGUUGUCCGGAUUUACUGGGCGUAAAGCGUGCGCAGGCGGUUCGUUGUGUCGGCGGUGAAAGCCCCGGGCUCAACCUGGGAAUGGCCGUUGAAACUGGCGAACUGGAGUGUGGCAGAGGGGGGUGGAAUUCCGCGUGUAGCAGUGAAAUGCGUAGAGAUGCGGAGGAACACCGAUGGCGAAGGCAGCCCCCUGGGCUGACACUGACGCUCAGGCACGAAAGCGUGGGGAGCAAACAGG